rnacentral:lncRNA from 1 species
UAUAUACAAAGCAAACUUAUGAAAUUUGUUCAUUCUUUGAGAUGAUGUGUUUAUUUCAGGUUUGCCUAACUUUAAUUGAAUAUCUUGCAUUAUAUGAGAUAGAUUAUUCACACACACACAAAAAUUUGUAAUUGAAGGGAAGCUUGUUCUUGAAUAAUUCUUAUGUUUAAUAUAUGCUUAUGAUUUUGUUCAAGUUCUAUUCAUCAUGCAAUUUUUGAGGAACUUAUGAGAAUCUAAUAUUGGUAGUUAUGUACUUUUGAUCUCUAGCAUGUUUUUCUAAUCUAGCUUAGUUUUAUUUUGCUCGAGGACAAGCAAAAAUUCAAGUUUGGGGGUUUGAUAGCUCUAUAAAAUAGAGUUAUUUUUAGUGCUUAAUUGUAUGGAUUUUGCUAUGUUCUUACUGAGAUAAUUUAAUUUUUACUCCUAAAUUGCUUAAUUUUCUAAUGUGUAGAAAAAUUUUAAGAAAUUUAGAAAAAAAAAAAGGAAUUCAAUGCAAAUUGAUUGAUUUUGGUGCUAAAAUGACUGAAUUUAUAAAGACUUAAAUUUAGAAGAUCAAUUGAAGAUUUUUUGAAGAUGGUUGGAGCUAAAUUGAAGAUGACAAGUUUUGACAAUUUCAGUUUCUUAAUUCUGGCAGCUUGCACUGUGAAAAUUUUCAAGCAAAUUCCAUGUAGGUGCACAUGCAUGAAAUUUCAUGGGAUGACAUGGUAGAUGUGUGGAAAUUUAUUGGAGAUCAAUGCAUGGCUGACGGAUGAGGAAUAGGAAGCUACAACUUGGAAAACUCAAGGCCGUUUAUGGCGCACAAACAGGCAGAUAUUGAACACAAAUUUGCAAGGUGAGUUGGAAGAGAUAGAAACCAAACUGUCUCUUGGUUUAAUAAAACUACGUUAUUCCAAAAUGGCAUGAAAGAUUUCAAAGAUGGAAAGGAGUCCUAUUGCAGGUUCAACUGUUUCUUCUAAAACAGUUUUAAUUUUCUAUUCUUGCAAGUUAAUUUUUAG